GAAACCAAGUCUGGCAGGUUACCCACGUGUUACUCACCCGUCCGCCACUCGUUCAAAAUUAAAUCAAGAUGCAAGCACCUUUCAAUAAUCAGAACUCGUUCGACUUGCAUGUAUUAGGCACGCCGCCAGCGUUCAUCCUGAGCCAUGAUCAAACUCU
rnacentral:rRNA from 1 species